rfam:Tupaia chinensis contig117565, whole genome shotgun sequence.
AACUUCUUAAAAAUCCUCAUGCUCGCUUUGAACCAUCCAAAAAGAUUAGCAUAGCCCCUGCACAAGACAGACAUACAAAUUUAUGAAGUGUCCCAUAUUUUU